GACGAACGCUGGCGGCGUGCUUAACACAUGCAAGUCGAACGGAAAGGCCCUGCUUUUGUGGGGUGCUCGAGUGGCGAACGGGUGAGUAACACGUGAGUAACCUGCCCUUGACUUUGGGAUAACUUCAGGAAACUGGGGCUAAUACCGGAUAGGAGCUCCUGCUGCAUGGUGGGGGUUGGAAAGUUUCGGCGGUUGGGGAUGGACUCGCGGCUUAUCAGCUUGUUGGUGGGGUAGUGGCUUACCAAGGCUUUGACGGGUAGCCGGCCUGAGAGGGUGACCGGCCACAUUGGGCCUGAGAUACGGACCAGACUCCUACGGGAGGCAGCAGGGGGGAAUAUUGCACAAUGGGCGGAAGCCUGAUGAAGCAACGCCGCGUGCGGGAUGACGGCCUUCGGGUUGUAAACCGCUUUCGCCUGUGACGAAGCGUGAGUGACGGUAAUGGGUAAAGAAGCACCGGCUAACUACGUG
rnacentral:rRNA from 1 species